rnacentral:rRNA from 2 species
GAGCUUGCUUCAAUUGCCGGCGACCGGCGCACGGGUGAGUAACGCGUAUCCCACCUUCCGCUUACUCGGGGAUAGCCUUUCGAAAGAAAGAUUAAUACCCGAUGGUAUCUUAAGCACGCAUGAGAUUAAGAUUAAAGAUUUAUCGGUAAGCGAUGGGGAUGCGUUCCAUUAGGCAGUUGGCGGGGUAACGGCCCACCAAACCUACGAUGGAUAGGGGUUCUGAGAGGAAGGUCCCCCACAUUGGAACUGAGACACGGUCCAAACUCCUACGGGAGGCAGCAGUGAGGAAUAUUGGUCAAUGGGCGAGAGCCUGAACCAGCCAAGUAGCGUGAAGGAUGACGGCCCUACGGGUUGUAAACUUCUUUUGUGCGGGAAUAAAGGAACCUACGUGUAGGUUUUUGCAUGUACCGUAACGAAUAAGCAUCGGCUAACUCCGUGCCAGCAGCCGCGGUAAUACGGAGGAUGCGAGCGUUAUCCGGAUUUAUUGGGUUUAAAGGGAGCGUAGACGGGUUUUUAAGUCAGCUGUGAAAGUUUGGGGCUCAACCUUAAAAUUGCAGUUGAAACUGGAGACCUUGAGUACGGUUGAGGCAGGCGGAAUUCGUGGUGUAGCGGUGAAAUGCUUAGAUAUCACGAAGAACUCCGAUUG